GAACCCGUGGCGCAGUGGUAGCGCGUAUGAUUCCAGUUCUAGUUGGAUAUCCAUAAGGUCAUCCGUUCAAUCCGGGUCGGGUUCA